rnacentral:lncRNA from 1 species
CUUUGCAAUUGGGAGAGGAAUGCAUUGACUAAGAACUAGCAGAUUAGGAAUUUGGCAUAUAUAAUCCAGGUACAUCUGUGGAAAUUUGUUAUACUUGUCAAAUAAAGAAAGAAAAGAAAAAGAGAAGAGAAGGAAAGGAAGGGAAGGGAAAGGGAAGAGAAAGGGAAGGGAAGGAAAGGAAAGGAAGAAGGGGCGGGCAUGGGGAGGAAGUAAGUCUUUGUAUCAAGUGAAGUGUAGCAGUGAGGAGCAGGCUGUUUACAUUGGGGAGACAACACAGUGAGACCUAGGCACCUGGAAACAGUAUUAAGGAUGGGUCCACAAGCAGCUGUAGCUUAUGUGAAUUUGACCAAAAACACAGUAAACCAUUAACAGGAUAUAAAAAGUAAAUGAAAAAUCCAAUUGUAGUUAACUAAUGUAAAGGCACAUCUCCUUUUUUCUAAAUCUAUUUUCAAAAAAGUUAAGGAUGUUUAAAAAUAUGAGUGACUGAUUUUUAAAAUGGGUUCAUCCAUUUUUACUCAUCUAAUACAGAAAUACCUGUUCCUUGUGCUCAGGAUCUUCAAGGAAAGAGGAAAAUCAACUGAGGUGGGCAGAAGGCACAGAUAAGCUCACUGCCUAUUGGGAGAGAAAAGUCAUGUACAGGCAGAUACACUAUAAUUAUUGUAUUGUGCAGUAAGUAUAUGAUAAGUUUGAAAGUGGUUUAGGAUAUAAUAACUAUUUUUCCCAUUAAAAAUCUUUCUGGGAUGGCCACUAUGAAAAAUUACAGAAUAAUGGAAAAAGUUUUCUUGAUAUGAGAAAUCUAUCAUAAACAUGAUAUUAUGAAGAUGACAGCAAAGAACUACAAUCCUUGGCACUAAUUAAUAGAAAAUUUUACAUGAGAUAGGCUUUAAACACUUUUUUUCCCUAUAUUGCAUUUCAAAAAAUAAACAUUUAAAAAUGUUCCAGACUUACUGGACAGUAAACAAAUCCAUCACUUUUUUCAUCAAUGAAAACUAAUCUGGUCCCAUUUGGGUCGGGAAAAAUCUUUUUCACACUGACAGGAUGUCGAUAAUCAUUAACGAAUUGCCAGUCUUCAAUGUAGAAAUACUGAACGACACCAGUCUAAAAAAAAAAAAAAAUCCAGCCAUGAAAAUAUAAAAGGUAGUCAAGGAAAUCCUAACUUUCAACAUUUAAAUUAAACAUAUGUUCUAAUUUUAAGAGAAAAAUGUCAUGUUUUUGAUGAAGUAUCUAAGAAUAAUAUUUAGUAUAUGUGAAAGGUACAGACUCAAGAAAAUAAAUAAAAUGGGAAAAGCUGGGCGCAGUGGCUCUUGCCUGUAAUCCCAGCACUUUGGGAGCCCACGACGGGCGGAUCACAAGGUAAGGAAUUCGAGACCAGCCUGGCCAAGAGACCAGCCUGGCCAAUAUGGUGAAACUCCAUCUCUACUAAAAAUACAAAAAUUAGCUGGGCAUGGUGGCGGGCGCCUGUAAUCCCAGCUACUUGGGAGGCUGAGGCAGGAGAAUUGCUUGAACCCAGGAGGCAGAGGUUGCAGUGAGCCGAGAUUGCACCAUUGCACUCUAGCCUGGGCAAUACAGCGAGACUCUGACUCAAAAAAAUAAAAAAUAAAAAAUAAAAAUAAAAAUAAAAUGGGACUGUACCUGUGAUUAAACAGUCUAUUAAUUCUAACAUUCUUAGUGAUAUUAAAGCAUAAUUGAUUUUUAGAUUUCCUACUUGCUAGAAAUACCCCUAUUAUAUAGGAGUAACUUUUAAAUACAUUAUUUCAAUUUUUUGCUAUUAAUAAAUUAGAAAAUUAAUUUUAAGACAAAAAAAUCCACCUGAUAGAAUCAACUGAAUGUAUAUUAGCAAUGAACAUGUACAUACCAAAUUAAAAAUGCAAUACCAUUUACAAUUACUCAAAAAAUGAGAUACUUGGGUAUAAACUUAAACAUAACAUGCCCAGGACUUGUAUGCUGAAAAUUAUAAAACACUAAUGAAAGACACAAAAUAUUUAACUAAAUGGAGAGGUAUACUGUGUUCAUGGAUGGGAAAUUAACAUGUUAAUUAUUCCCAUCUGAUAUAAAGGUUUAAUAUCAUUCUAAUAAAAGAAAUUUCAACAAGAUUUUUUUGUAGAUAGACACACAAUUAUUCUAAAAUUUAUACAGACUGAUAAACUAGAAGAGCUAAAACAAUUUAGAAAAUAAAGUGGGAAAUUAGUCUACCCAAUUUUAAGGCUUUCUUUUUAUAGCUAUAGUAAUCAAGACUGCGUAGUAUUGGUGGAAGAACAGAUACACAGAUCAAUGGAAGCCUGAAAU